rnacentral:rRNA from 1 species
GACAGAGGGGGCAAGCGUUGCUCGGAAUUACUGGGCGUAAAGGGCGCGUAGGCGGCAACUCAAGUCAGCUGUGAAAUCUCCGAGCUUAACUCGGAACGGUCAGCUGAUACUGUUUUGCUAGAGUGCAGAAGGGGCAAUCGGAAUUCUUGGUGUAGCGGUGAAAUGCGUAGAUAUCAAGAGGAACACCUGAGGUGAAGACGGGUUGCUAGGCUGACACUGACGCUGAGGCGCGAAAGCCAGGGGAGCAAACGGG